UUGACCUGCAACAGUUACACGCACUACGCGCUCACUGUCGCCUCCCGAGGCUUGUUUGCUUAUAUCCACCUUAACGAGUAGACCUAGACUUGACCUGCAAUAGUUACACGCGCACUACGCGCUUACUGUCGCCUCCCGAGGCGAAUUGUUUGCUUAUAUCGACCUUAAUGCGUAGACCUGGACUUGACCUGCAACAGUUACACGCACUACGCGCUCACUGUCGCCUCCCGAGGCUUGUUUGCUUAUAUCCACCUUAACGAGUAGACCUAGACUUGACCUGCAAUAGUUACACGCGCACUACGCGCUUACUGUCGCCUCCCGAGGCGAAUUGUUUGCUUAUAUCGACCUUAAUGCGUAGACCUGGACUUGACCUGCAAUAGUUACACACGCACUACGCGUUUACUGUCGCCUCCCGAGGCAAUUUGUUUGCCGACAUCGACCUUAAUGCGUACACCUGGACAUAGACCAAACUCACCAGCUAGAACUAAAAACACAGUGUUCUGCGACAAAAAAGUCUGACUGAAAGAGAAAUCAAAGUACUGAAUUGCGCAAACGAGAUCGUUUUACGUUAGUUAUGUAACUUGUGUAGGCGAGACAGUUCUUAGGUUUUUUGAUCUUUUUCAUUGGAAAGAGCCUUCCAGGUCUUUGUCCCGAAAUAUAUUGAUAAUAGUUUUGAUUUCUUUCGAAUUUGGAAUGUCGAAUCAUCAAUGUGGUCCUUAAGGCGCUGUUAUGUUGAAUCUGGGUGAAAACGCGUUGACCACACCGUAUUUAACUGAUGCUGAGACUUCAAACCAAAACAUUUCUUAAGUCAUUAGACUUUAGAAGUAUCAUUGUAUGCAGGCGAUUAGAGCCCAUACACACUACCCAACUUUAACCCGAGAAAAUACGAUCUGAAUGUGUAGACAUUCUGAACAUUAUCACAAAGAAUCAAGGUACUAAAUGUUGAAAUAGAUGCGUCAAUUAUAUUUUUCCACUUAGAAUUUGUAUAUUUUGACCAAAUUGUAGUAAAUAUUUUUAUACUUGGAUAGUUUUGUUAACGAUAUUUUAUUACAUCGUUUAUUGAUUUUUUCUCGGGUUCAUGCUCUAAAUUUAGGCUUUGGUCAAUUUUUCUACAACCGCUAUCUAUCUCUUUCUGUAGACUACAAUUAAAGAGAGACAGUGUCUAUCCAGUUGUAGUUACUACCCCCAAAAUCGCAGAGCAUGUUGUAGAAAAUUUCAAAAAAAUAUGAAAAGUUACCGGAAAUUUUAGGAAAAUUUCACAAGUGUCAAAGGACAUUUUGUGAAAGGAAAAUUUCGAUUCCCAUACAAAAAUAUAUGUUCCGAAAAUUUUGCCAUAAAAAUUGGAAACUGCGACGGCAAAUCAGUACCUAAAAUGAUUUGUGUAUAAAUACUGUGGACGCGUGUCGUGUGAUGUUUUACCUCGUUUAUUUAACUAAUUUAUUUUCCUAAUUAAACUUGCAAUCGUUCGUAUCGUGCCAAUUUGAUCGGGUCGUUUAUAUUCUGCAUCUUCUCAAAUAAUUUUUACGGUAGAAGAUGCAGACUAUACAUGUUCUCUUACUGCCGAAUUUUAGGUUAGGCCCCUCACACAGAAUUUUCUUAUUUAUCCUUUAAGUAUUAUGCUCAUUUUAAAUGUACAUAGUUUUUGAUGAUACUCCUAAAUAUGUAGGUAUCUACUAAAUCUAUUAUCAAUAUGCAAUCGUGAGUGGGUGGCCUUAUCUAGCCAACAGUACUUAAAUUCAUCAAAAACCCGAUCGAAUAUGGCUUUAAAUGUAAUGGUCAUGGAGACUAUAUAAAGGAGCCAAAUCUCUAUGUAUGAAAAGUGUCCAUCAAAAAACAGUACUUAGGCGGCGCCACCAUACACCGAAAUACUACCAAAAACAACCUACGUAAUUUGGUCGGGUUAUUUGUUGGUUCAUGUUAUACUCAUGUCCCAGAGCCUAACUAGCGCCACCGGAGAGAUUAGGAACUAUUAUUUAAAGCUGAAAGCGGUCACUUUUGCAACAAUUCUGCCAUAAGAGAUUGGCAUCCUUUCUAUACCAUCCAUAGUAAUGGUGUUGGCAACUGUCAAAGGUUUGCAGAGAUGGCGCCAUCAUAGCUUGCCCCGUUUUCCAUGAGAUUUGGCUUAAAGGGCUGGCAUCCAGGGCAUUAAAAAAACAAAAAUUUGACACAGUUUUAGGGUUUGACAGGGCAAGCUAUGCUGGCGCCAUCUGCUAAUUAUUUUGACCGGCCAACCCCAUUGUACGAGUAAUCUUGAAACGCCGAGACAUUAGCGUAAGAUAAAUAUCCAUAUCAAAAAUCAAAAUUGUAUGUUAGUAACAGACUACACUGUGUAGUCGGGGUAAAUGAAAAUGGCUGAAGAUGUACAUACAUUUUUAAAAGUACUCUCUUUACACCUCAUGCAUACCUUACAAAUUCACCUCAAAAAACAAUAUAAAAUACUAGCUUUUGCCCGCGACUUCGUCUGCGUGGACUUAGUAACCGCAGCUAGAGUUAGAAUAGCGCCUGGAAAUUUUUUCAUAGCAAUCUAAAUUUGAGCAUAUUGUGCACACAAAUUAGCAGGCACUUCGUUAAUUAUCUCAAUUCCACUCCGCUUUUUACGUUCUUAAGGGAUGAUUUUUGGGAUAUAAACUAUCCUAUGUCCUUCUCAGGGACUCAACCUAUCUCUAUGCCAAAUUUCAUCUAAAUCGGUUCAGCGGUUUAAGUGUGAAGAGGGAACACACAGACAGAAAGACAGACAGACAUUCGCAUUUAUAAUAUUAGUAUGGAUUUUUAAUAUCGGAUUGUUAAUAAUUUAAAUAAGAAGAAAGUUGUAAAUGAGACUCGUUUAACCUUAUGUGUGCGGUGCGUCAUCGUGAACUUUGUCUCAAUGCACGAAGGUUGACACUGAGCUGUACCCGCGCGAGGAAAUUGCCGCGCGAAGCCUUUCGGUCGGUAGAGACAUGCCUCGUCCGAGGCAAUGCGACCUAUUUGACGUCUUGUCCGGUCAAAAUUUUAAAGGAUUAGAUUUAGUAAAAUGUACUUUCUGUAGACAUGCCGGAUACUAAACUAAUUUAUUGACAUCUUUAGCAAUUUCUAUAGACCCGGACUAUACGCCCUUAAAAAACUGUUUACAAAAAAGUAAAUUGUGUAGUUAGUCUUUGAAGAACUGUAAUUGCUAUGUCCUUUCUGAUGCCGGUCAGAUAAGCACUAGGCUAGAAAGUUGAAUCAAAAAUAUAAUAUUUAUAUCAACAUACAGGUCACAACAUACUCAAAAAUAGUUUAGAAAGGCGCAAAAAUACAGGCUUUUCCAUCCGCGCCGAAAAAAUCGAUUGCCAAUCUAGUCAGAUUGUACGCAAAAUUGUGUUGUCUGGUAAUAGAAAUAGUAAUGUAAUAUUUUGGUAUAGAGUAGUAAUGCGAAAAUGUUUUUUUUUUGUUUACAUUUUCACACAAAUCACAGUAUUUUUGGUUCAACUUACAUCUCUCCGGUUGAAAUUUUAUUCUAAUGUUACCUGUGUGAUAUCGCUUCGUCGACUGCGUAAGUCUUUUUCUAGCGAGUAUGUUCGAGAGAGGGACGAAUGCCUUAUGUGCUACUCUCUGUAAUUGUUCAAAAGGUACCACUUUUCAAUAUUUUUUUGCUUUGUGCUAGUAGUGUUUUGUGUCAUUGAAUAGUGGUACCUUUUGAUUAAAAUUAGGUAUCGCACUUUAGAGAGAGGCCACACACAACAAAUCUUGAUAUGAAACUAUCAACUUAAUUUAAAUUCAUAUUUCUUGUUAACUGAAAAGGUCAUAUACUAAAAAAACAGUGACUACGAGUAAGUGCUAGUGGCCGAGACCGAAACCGGCAUCUUGAGCUUUCGCGGAUAACUAACGCCAUAACUUCCAAGGCCAACCGGUCACUCGAUAAAUGCAAUCUUAGGCGCUUUUGACCAUCAUUCUUAUAUCCAUACAAGAGAGUUAGACCAAGAUAAGUCUGCAACGAUUUUGAUAGCAGUGUGCUAAUCGUUGCAGUAUUGUCUUGGUUUAUCUAUACCCGUGUGUAUCCCAUUCAUUAUUUCGUGUCAUUCGCCUCUCUCUAAACUGCGAGUUAUAUUUGUAAAAAGCAAGGGUGAUAUGAUAUGAGCGGCCGUUAUGGCGGCACGGUAGGCGAUAAUUCAGUAGGUGUAUUGUCGAAAACGCGCCGCGCGAGCUGUUUUUGUCUCACUCUUAUUUUAUGUAACAGAGUGCGACGCGUAUCUGAUGCGCUAUUAAUUGAUAUGAGUUUAAUGCCCGCAACACUUCGCUGUGAUAUUAUGUUGCAUCACUUUCGGAAAUAUAGUAUAGCUACAUUGGCCGCUUAAUUUAUAAAGAAAGUAAAAAAAAAAUAUACAAGCUUUUAAUACUUUUUGCUUAUAAUUACAAACAAUUUGAUUGGAUAAUGAUACAACAAUUUUAAAUGAGUUUACCCUGAGUAUUUUGAUUGCAAUUUUAAUUUUAGAAGCCGAGAGAAAAUUGCCACGGCAAUUAUAAUUUUUUACUUAAUUUAACUGACCAUCUUAAGUUCCCGGCAAGCUCAGUUCUCCAUACAAACGUAGUUACGCUCUCAUUUUAAAACGACUAGCUAGAUUGCUCUGAAACUUUGUACUUACAAUAGAAUAAAGUAUAUCUAGGUCUGUAAUUAGGUUAUGUAGCUUCAGAUACCAUAGUUAAAAAAAUACAGCUAAUUUAAGUUUUUCAUACAAAACUAGUUUUUGCUCCAUUUCGUUUAUUUUACAAACUGGAGCCAUAUAAAGUAAUUACAGACCUAGAUAUACCUCAUGUCAUUGUGUGCAAAGUUUCGUUACAAUCCAACAGGCAGUUUUAAAAUGAGAACGAAACUCCGUUUGUAUGGGAAGGUGAAAUUCGGCCGAGCUUGCCGGGGACUGUUGAUAUUGAUCUGUAGCCGUGCGUCAGUUCACGUCUUUGGCGGUGAAAGGGUUAACAUUUGUAGACUAUGGACUAUGGUACGGAGUUAAUUGCGCUGUUGCCAGCUCGCGCGGCCGUUUGUUAUCACACUAUUUUAGUUGGUUUUAUUAUUACUUAUUACGUAAUGUAUAAGUGUUAAAAUAUUUAUUUAUGGUAUAAAUGCAACAUUAA